CCUUCAUCUGCACCAAGUAAGUAUUUUAUGGUGCAAGGGGUUAAUGGGUUUACAUCACUGGUUGAUUUAGGAGAGCAAGACAUUAAGACAAUGCAAGUUUUUUGCAAAUUAAAGUUAUACCCCAUUUACAUUCCACAUUGUUAAAGUUACUUGUCCCUCCUUCCCCCAGUAUGAUAGUUAUGCUAUACAUGCAUCUGGCCUGGCAUAUAACCUGUUUAUUUUCAGCAGAGCACAUUUAGGUAGGUUUUGAAUACAAGUGAUUUUUCCUUGGUUAGUCUGAGUACUACUUUGACCCUGGUUCUUUCUAAGCGAGGACAAAAGUUUAUUGUGUCUAGCUGCGGCAAGGUCAAUAUGGGAGUCGGUAACUGGUUCAGCAUCAAAUUUGGGCAAAGGAGACUGUGUUUCAUGUUCCUCAGCACUUACCUGACGCAGAAGGCAAGGAGGCCCAUAGCCAAGUUUACGAGAAGAGAUCAGUCAGUGGCACUACAAGAAUAGCCAUUCUGUCUACAGAUACCCUGAAGCAUCACUACCAGUUCAUGAAGAAUUCAGGCAAGCCUAUCAAGUGCAACUCGGGAGAGUUUCGGACUUACAAAAGGUCAUUGUCCUCCUUGGUCAUGGUGCAAGCACUCACACGUCAAGAGACUUAAGUACCUGAGAUCACCUGACUGUCUCACAGAAUAAACAGAGGUAAGACUUGUUUUUACCUCUUCGUAGAACUGCGGUAGAGAGUUUCGCACACCAGGAGUGUCUACCCAGCCCGGGUGCAUGCAAGAAAAAUGCACCUUAUCAUACCUCUGAGCAAACCACAGCGACAUCACCACCUGCACGAAAUUUGUGUUACAUGCCUUGAGAUCAAAGUGUGGUAGUAAAGAAGGAGUGUGACUACUGUCAUUAUCUACAAUGUACUGCAGCCACAAGAACAACAACUACAACUACUUCCAGACGUCUAGACAGUACCUCCAGUCUCCCCCCUUCACCACAGCCCGUCACCUCACCUGGGAGCUCACGCCACCGGCCGAAACAAGCAGUUAACGAGCCGGUUCAUAGUUAAAGAAGCUACCAGUACCACCUGCACGGCUGCAGUCGUGUAUAUAUAUAUAUAUAUAUAUAGGGCUACCUAGCCCACUACAAUUCAGAUUACUCCCGAGUGCUCUACUAAGUAGACCUGUUGAUAUAUCUUGACAUGGUAACGAGUUAUUCAGUCUGGCUCACAGUAUUACUGCACCAUAUUUUAAUUGCACAUUAAUGUAACAUAAAUUUGAUUGUCUGUUUAUCUUGUUCAUUUUGUAUACUUAGAAUAUAGCCAAAUUUUGGAUAUUAUUUAUAUUUUCAUGUUAAGUAAACUAUUUUAAAUGUU